AGUGAACGCUGGCGGUAGGCCUAACACAUGCAAGUCGAACGGCAGCACAGUAAGAGCUUGCUCUUACGGGUGGCGAGUGGCGGACGGGUGAUGAAUACAUCGGAAUCUACUUUUUCGUGGGGGAUAACGUAGGGAAACUUACGCUAAUACCGCAUACGACCUACGGUUGAAAGCAGGGGAUCUUCGGACCUUGCGCGAUUGAAUGAGCCGAUGUCGGAUUAGCUAGUUGGCGGGGUAAAGGCCCACCAAGGCGACGAUCCGUAGCUGGUCUGAGAGGAUGAUCAGCCACACUGGAACUGAGACACGGUCCAGACUCCUACGGGAGGCAGCAGUGGGGAAUAUUGGACAAUGGGCGCAAGCCUGAUCCAGCCAUACCGCGUGGGUGAAGAAGGCCUUCGGGUUGUAAAGCCCUUUUGUUGGGAAAGAAAAGCAGCAGGUUAAUACCCCGCUGUUCUGACGGUACCCAAAGAAUAAGCACCGGCUAACUUCGUG
rnacentral:rRNA from 1 species